rnacentral:antisense_RNA from 1 species
UGUGGGAGCUGGCUUGCCUGCGAUGCAGGCAGCUCGGUACAUCAGGCAGAUCCGGUUGAUGCUGUCGCAGGCAAGCCAGCUCCCACC